AACGAACGCUGGCGGCAGGCCUAACACAUGCAAGUCGAACGCCCCGCAAGGGGAGUGGCAGCCGGGUGAGUAACACGUGGGAACCUUCCCUAUAGUACGGAAUAGCCCAGGGAAACUUGGAGUAAUACCGUAUACGCCCGAAAGGGGAAAGAAUUUCGCUAUAGGAUGGGCCCGCGUAGGAUUAGCUAGUUGGUGAGGUAAUGGCUCACCAAGGCGACGAUCCUUAGCUGGUUUGAGAGAACGACCAGCCACACUGGGACUGAGACACGGCCCAGACUCCUGGGGGGGGCGGCGGUGGGGAAUAUGGAAAAGGGGGCGAAGGCGGUACCCACCCGGGCCGUGGGAGGGAGGAGGGCUUUGGGGUUAAAAAUCUUUUUGGGGGGGGAGAAUAAUGCCGUCCCCCAAAAAAUAGGCCCCGGCUACCUUCGUC
rnacentral:rRNA from 1 species